AUCUUCUUAGCUCAGUUGGUUAGAGUGUGGUGGUGCUCAGAAUGCCAAGGUUGCAGGUUCGAAUCCUGUGUGGGAUA